rnacentral:rRNA from 1 species
CUGUAGAGAAUACCAAGGCGAUCGAGUGAACCAUGGUUAAGGAACUCGGCAAAAUGCCCCCGUAACUUCGGGAGAAGGGGGGCCUGAUGCGUGACACCACUUGCUGGUGGAAGCGUUGAUGGCCGCAGAGACCAGGCCCAAGCGACUGUUUACUAAAAACACAGGUCCGUGCGAAGAAGUAAUUCGAUGUAUACGGACUGACGCCUGCCCGGUGCUGGAACGUUAAGGGGACAGGUUAGCUGGUUUAGGCCGGCGAAGCUUUGAACUUAAGCGCCAGUAAACGGCGGUGGUAACUAUAACCAUCCUAAGGUAGCGAAAUUCCUUGUCGGGUAAGUUCCGACCUGCACGAAUGGCGUAACGACUUGGGCGCUGUCUCAACCAUGGACUCGGCGAAAUUGCAUUACGAGUAAAGAUGCUCGUUACGCGCAGCAGGACGGAAAGACCCCGGGACCUUUACUACAACUUGGUAUUGGUGGUCGGUACAACUUGUGUAGGAUAGGUGGGAGACUGUGAAACUCGGACGCCAGCUCGGGUGGAGUCAUCGUUGAAAUACCACUCUGGUUGUUCUGGCUGUCUAACUUCGGUCCAUUAUCUGGAUCAGGGACAGUGCCUGGUGGGUAGUUUGACUGGGGCGGUCGCCUCCUAAAAGGUAACGGAGGCGCUCAAAGGUUCCCUCAGCCUGGUUGGCAAUCAGGUGUCGAGUGUAAGUGCACAAGGGAGCUUGACUGUGAGACAGACAUGUCAAGCAGGGACGAAAGUCGGAACUAGUGAUCCGGCGGUGGCAUGUGGGAGCACCGUCGCUCAACGGAUAAAAGGUACCCCGGGGAUAACAGGCUGAUCUUCCCCAAGAGUCCAUAUCGACGGGAUGGUUUGGCACCUCGAUGUCGGCUCGUCGCAUCCUGGGGCUGGAGUAGGUCCCAAGGGUUGGGCUGUUCGCCCAUUAAAGCGGCACGCGAGCUGGGUUUAGAACGUCGUGAGACAGUUCGGUCCCUAUCCGCUGCGCGCGCAGGAGACUUGAGAAGGGCUGCCCCUAGUACGAGAGGACCGGGGUGGACGAACCUCUGGUGUGCCAGUUGUUCCGCCAGGAGCACGGCUGGUUGGCUACGUUCGGAAGUGAUAACCGCUGAAAGCAUCUAAGCGGGAAGCACGCUUCAAGAUGAGGUCUCCCACCGAGUUAAUCGGGUAAGGCCCCCAGUAGACCACUGGGUUGAUAGGCCAGAAGUGGAAGCGCCGCAAGGUGUGGAGCUGACUGGUACUAAUAGGCCGAGGGCUUGUCCC